ACCCUCUUCUCUCUCCGUGGCAGCCCCCGUUCAAACUGUGUUUCGAGCUCCAUUCAUAAAUCAAACACAAGCUUCUUCCUCUCUCCCUGGCACGAGUUACUUUUCUCUCCGUGGCUGCUACUUCUGCUUCUUCUGCCGUGGCCGUUGCCGCUGCCGCCGCUGCUUGCAUCGCACAAUCUCUCUGUCAUCCCUUACGUCCUACGAGAUCCCCCGCCGCCGCUCUCGUCGCAGAGCUCUCUCUGCCGACGCUCUCAUCGCAUCUGCUCCCUCUGGCACCUCUUCCAUCUAAUCUCAACUCGCUCUCUCAGUUCUUCUUGUAACCAUCUCAAAUUUCAGCUUUCGUUUGAAUCAUUUGCUUGGACGAAUGUUGAAUCUGUUCUGUUCUGCUUUGUUCAAUGUUACAGCUCAAGAUCUUGUUGACACUAUGCUUCUAAAUUUCUGAUAUCUUCACUCUUAACGAUGGAUCUGUAACGCCUCUACUCAAGAGCAUGACAGUGCAUAAUAUGUAUGUUGGAGAGGGUUCAGACUUCAAAUAUAAUAUAUAAAAGGGUGGCUGAGCAGUGGGGUUCUCUUGGUGACUUGACUACGUCUGUUACAUCGAUUCGAUUCGAUUGAUACAGAAGGAAUACUCAGGAUCUGCUAGAACUGGCGAUGGAUCUGUUAGACGAGAUCAAGUUGGUGGGGUCAAAAUACUCAGGUAAAACAAACUGCUGAAAAUGUUAAUGAUGCUGUUAGAGAACUUCCAGAUGCUAAUAUGGCAUAUGGAGAUUCAUCUUUCCGGAAUUGCAAGCUAGCCUCUGAGGAAGCAAUGGCUACAAUAGUUAAAAAGUUGCAGGUUUUGUUCCUUCACCUUUGUCAAGCCUUUGGACUUGGGCCAAUCAAGCAAAACAAGCCUGGGGCCAUCUUAGAUGCAUUUAUCUAUUUUGUUACUCUUGUAACUUAGUUUGAUCUUCUAUACCUCUAUAAUUUGCUUUAUUUAAGUGUUAAUUUGUGUUUCUCUGCCUCCCUUAUCAGCUUAUACAUUGGCAUAUAUAAUGCCCUUGUUUAUCAGCUUAUACCAAUUUCAGGGAAGUUGAAAGGCUUUCCAAAAUCAUUUUUAUAUAUACAAAAAAGGUGUUUAUUGCAAUUGUUUCCUUGGUUGCAAACUAAUAGUGCUAUAUGAUCAAUGAAUAAACAAAUGAUUUGAUUAUACAUACAGUGAUAACUACGCAGAAUCCACUUUUUAGGGACAGCUUUCUGAUGAAUGGUUAUGUUCUAAAUACUGGCCGUGCAGCUCAAGGAAUGCCUCUAAACAGCUGGAUUUACAAAUAUAUUAUUUAGAGAUAUUUCAUCUGUCAAAUAGUUCCUGGAGGAUACAUUUUGAUGCAGAAACAAAAUUUGGGAAAGGAUUCUUCCUCUCAAACAGGAAGUGUUAGCCAGAUUUAUGACGAGUUCUGCCCAAUCUUAGUCAACCAGUUUAAGUCAAGGGAUUACACAAAAUUUGAGACAUUUGAUGCUUCCUUGGAUGAGUUCUACAGCAAAAUUGAGAGCCAAAGGUCUGAACAACAGCAGAAAGCCAAAGAAAACUCAGCUGCUCAGAAGCUGAAUAAAAUACGCCAGGAUCAGGAAAAUCGAGUGCACACAUUGAGGAAAGAAGCUGAUCACUGUGUUAAAAUGGCAAAAUUGAUAGAAUACAACUUAGAAGAUGUGGAUGCUGCUAUAUUAGCUGUUCGUGUAGCUCUUGCAAAGGAAAUUCUGGGAUUGGAGCUGGCAGGAAUUAGCCCUGUAUGAUAUGGCAGAAAUGAUCAAUUACAUAUAUUCAGUAACAAAUUCAAAGCUAUUCAUAGUUGGGCAUUCACAGGUAGUUAUGAUUCUGGACAUCAUCCUUUUCACUUGCUAUUUGGGCCUUGCUUAUCAGCAACUGGGAAGGUAUACUGCAGCCAUAAAGUCUUAUGGCCGUGCCAUCGAGUUGGAUGAUAAGAUGGUCUUUGCUUUGGUUGAAAGCGAAAAUAUCUCGUUGACACUUGGUUCAUUUAGGAAGGGAGUUGAACAAUUUUGACAAGCUUUGGAGAUUUCAUCACAAUGUGUGCCAGCACAAUAUGGGCUUGCUUUGGGGCUUCUUUGUUUAGCAAAAGAUUGCAUGAACCUGGGAGCAUUUAAGUGGGGGGUUCUUUAUUAGAGGUAGAAAAGGAUGAAUUCGGGUAUAUGUUAUGUGAUAUUUUAAAGCAGAACUUUGUUGAUACAUCUGGCGUGCGGGUUUGACUCUGAAGCUAGAACUGCAUUAGCUUUUGUCACGCUUAAAGCCGAUGGCGAGCGCGAGUUCUUGUUUUUCCGGAAAUCUUUUAGAGGAGAAAUUCUACAACUCUAUCACGGCCACUGUGUAUGCCUCAAACAAAUCAUCAAGUUGCUUCUUGACCAAUGCCAACACUACCACCGAUGCAACUGUCUCAUUUAGAGGAAGAACCUAUGCAGUUCCAGCAUGAUCUGUUUAGCUUGGCUUGGCUUGGCAUGGCAAAUAUACACGGCAAGAGAUUUUUUAUUCCAUAAGAUUUGACUACAUACUCUUUUAAUUAAAUAUUUGUUUGUGAUGAAUUAUAGUUGAUGUAUCAACACACUUUGAUGUAUAGUUGUUACUUAAUAUUAUAGUUAAUGUAUUAAUACACUUUGUUUAUGUUUUGAAUUA